AGUGAACGCUGGCGGUAGGCCUAACACAUGCAAGUCGAACGGCAGCACAGUAAGAGCUUGCUCUUACGGGUGGCGAGUGGCGGACGGGUGAGGAAUACAUCGGAAUCUACUUUUUCGUGGGGGAUAACGUAGGGAAACUUACGCUAAUACCGCAUACGACCUACGGGUGAAAGCAGGGGAUCUUCGGACCUUGCGCGAUUGAAUGAGCCGAUGUCGGAUUAGCUAGUUGGCGGGGUAAAGGCCCACCAAGGCGACGAUCCGUAGCUGGUCUGAGAGGAUGAUCGGCCGCACUGGAACUGAGACACGGUCCAGACUCCUACGGGAGGCAGCAGUGGGGAAUAUUGGACAAUGGGCGCAAGCCUGAUCCAGCCAGACCGCGUGGGUGAAGGAGGCCUUCGGGUUGUAAAGCCCUUUUGUUGGGAAAGAAAAGCAGCAGGUUAAUACCCCGCUGUUCUGACGGUACCCAAAGAAUAAGCACCGGCUAACUUCGUG
rnacentral:rRNA from 1 species